GCAAGAUAUAUUAUUUGUCAAAACAUGAUUUUCUGUUCUGCAGGGGGCUGCUUGGUAAUGAGCCAGCCUGAUGCCGACAGGUCUUGUAACCCACCGUGUAGUCAACCCCACUCGUACUGUAGCGAGACAAAAACAUGCCAUUGUGAAGAAGGGUACACUGAAGUCAUGUCUUCUAACAGCACCCUUGAGCAAUGCACACUUAUCCCCGUGGUGGUAAUACCCACCAUGGAGGACAAAAGAGGAGAUGUGAAAACCAGUCGGGCUGUACAUCCAACCCAACCCUCCAGUAACCCAGCAGGACGGGGAAGGACCUGGUUUCUACAGCCAUUUGGGCCAGAUGGGAGACUAAAGACCUGGGUUUACGGUGUAGCAGCUGGGGCAUUUGUGUUACUCAUCUUUAUUGUCUCCAUGAUUUAUCUAGCUUGCAAAAAGCCAAAGAAACCCCAAAGAAGGCAAAACAACCGACUGAAACCUUUAACCUUAGCCUAUGAUGGAGAUGCCGACAUGUAACAUAUAACUUUUCCUGGCAACAACCAGUUUCGGCUUUCUGACUUCAUAGAUGUCCAGAGGCCACAACAAAUGUAUCCAAACUGUGUGGAUUAAAAUAUAUUUUAAUUUUUAAAAAGGGCAUCAUAAAGCCAAGAGUGAAAAUCAUACUGCCACUGGAGAUAUUUAAGACAGUACCACUUAUAUACAGACCAUCAACCGUGAGAAUUAUAGGAGAUUUAGCUGAAUACAUGCUGCAUUCUGAAAGUUUUAUGUCAUCUUUCCUGAAAUCUACCAACUGAAAAACCACCUUCAUCUCUAAAAAAUAAUGGUGGAAUUGGCCAGUUAGGAUGCCUGAUACAAGACUGUCUGCAGUGUUAAUCCAUAGAAGUUCCUAGCAUGAAGAGCUACUACCAAGAUCUCCACAAUACUGUAGUCAAAUUAACAUGUGUACUCAGUUGAAUGAUACACAUUAUGUCAGAUUAUGUACUUGCUAAUAAGCAAUUUUAACAAUGCAUAACAAAUAAGCUCUAAGCUAAGCAGAAAAUCCAUUGAAUAAAUUCAGCAUCUUGGUGGUCAAUGGUAGAUUUUAUUGACCUGCAUUUCAGAGACAAAGCCUCUUUUUUAAGACUUCAUUCUUGUCUCUCUCCAAAGUAAGAAUGCUGGACAAGUACUAGCGUCUUAGAAGAACGAGUCCUCAAGUUCAGUAUUUUAUAGUGGUAAUUGUCUGGAAAACUCAUUUACUUGUGUUAAUACAAUACGUUUCUACUUUCCCUGAUUUUCAAACUGGUUGCCUGCAUCUUUUUUGCUAUAUGGAAGGCACAUUUUUGCACUAUAUUAGUGCAGCAUGAUAGGCGCUUAACCAGUAUUGCCAUAGAAACUGCCUCUUUUCAUACGGGAUGAAGACAUCUGUGCCAAGAGUGGCAUGAAGACAUUUGCAAGUUCUUGUAUCCUGAAGAGAGUAAAGUUCAGUUUGGAUGGCAGCAAGAUGAAAUCAGCUAUUACACCUGCUGUACACACACUUCCUCAUCACCGCAGCCAUUGUGAAAUUGACAACACGGCGGUAAUUUAAGUGUUGAAGUCCCUAACCCCUUAACCCUCUAAAAGGUGGAUUCCUCUAGUUGGAUUGUAAUUGUUCUUUGAAGGCUGUUUAUGACUAGAUUUUUAUAUUUGUUAAGAAAAAAAA
rnacentral:sRNA from 1 species